rnacentral:rRNA from 1 species
AACGAACGCUGGCGGCAGGCCUAACACAUGCAAGUCGAGCGCGAACGUUUUCUUCGGAAAGCAAGUAGAGCGGCGCACGGGUGAGUAACACGUGAGUAAUCUGCCUCAAGGCCCGGAAUAACAGUUCGAAAGGACUGCUAAUACCGGAUAAGCCUCCGUGACUGCGGUCAAGUGAGGAAAAGGGGGGGAUCUUCGGACCUUCCACCUUGAGAUGAGCUCGCGUCCCAUUAGGUAGUUGGUAGGGUAACGGCCUACCAAGCCGACGAUGGGUAGCUGGUCCGAGAGGACGAUCAGCCACACUGGAACUGAGACACGGUCCAGACUCCUACGGGAGGCAGCAGUGGGGAACCUUGCGCAAUGGGCGAAAGCCUGACGCAGCCAUGCCGCGUGAGUGACGAAGGCCUUCGGGUUGUAAAGCUCUGUCCAGGGGGACGAACGGUCGUGGAGAUAACAUCUCUGCGAAGUGACGGUACCCCUGAAGAAAGCACCGGCUAACUCCGUGCCAGCAGCCGCGGCAAUACGGAGGGUGCAAGCGUUGUUCGGAAUCACUGGGCGUAAAGCGCGUGUAGGCGGUGUUGCAAGUCGGGUGUGAAAUCCCUGGGCUCAACCUAGGAAUUGCGCUCGAAACUGCAGCACUGGAGUACGGGAGAGGGACGUGGAAUUCCUGGUGUAGAGGUGAAAUUCGUAGAGAUCAGGAGGAACACCUGCGGCGAAGGCGACGUCCUGGACCGAUACUGACGCUGAGACGCGAA